rnacentral:rRNA from 1 species
CCGCCAGAAAAUUACGAGCGAAAAGCUUAAAACUCAAAGGACUUGGCGGUGCUCCACACCAACUUAGAGGAGCCUGUCCUAUAAUCGAUACUCCACGAUAAACCCCUCCAAUUUUUGCCAAAUCAGCCUAUAUACCGCCGUCGCCAACUUACCCCAUGAGGAUAAAUAGUAAGUAUAAUAGUUUAACUACUAAANCUUNNNNUUCNACGNNUAGCUAAUAAAUUGGAA